CUUGCUUCUCUUGAGAGCGGCGGACGGGUGAGUAAUGCCUAGGAAUCUGCCUGGUAGUGGGGGAUAACGUUCGGAAACGGACGCUAAUACCGCAUACGUCCUACGGGAGAAAGCAGGGGACCUUCGGGCCUUGCGCUAUCAGAUGAGCCUAGGUCGGAUUAGCUAGUUGGUGGGGUAAUGGCUCACCAAGGCGACGAUCCGUAACUGGUCUGAGAGGAUGAUCAGUCACACUGGAACUGAGACACGGUCCAGACUCCUACGGGAGGCAGCAGUGGGGAAUAUUGGACAAUGGGCGAAAGCCUGAUCCAGCCAUGCCGCGUGUGUGAAGAAGGUCUUCGGAUUGUAAAGCACUUUAAGUUGGGAGGAAGGGCAGUUGCCUAAUACGUAACUGUUUUGACGUUACCGACAGAAUAAGCACCGGCUAACUCUGUGCCAGCAGCCGCGGUAAUACAGAGGGUGCAAGCGUUAAUCGGAAUUACUGGGCGUAAAGCGCGCGUAGGUGGUUUGUUAAGUUGGAUGUGAAAUCCCCGGGCUCAACCUGGGAACUGCAUUCAAAACUGACUGACUAGAGUAUGGUAGAGGGUGGUGGAAUUUCCUGUGUAGCGGUGAAAUGCGUAGAUAUAGGAAGGAACACCAGUGGCGAAGGCGACCACCUGGACUGAUACUGACACUGAGGUGCGAAAGCGUGGGGAGCAAAC
rnacentral:rRNA from 3 species